CGUAGGGUGCGAGCGUUAAUCGGAAUUACUGGGCGUAAAGCGUGCGCAGGCGGUUUUGUAAGACAGAUGUGAAAUCCCCGGGCUCAACCUGGGACCUGCAUUUGUGACUGCAAGGCUAGAGUACGGUAGAGGGGGACGGAAUUCCGCGUGUAGCAGUGAAAUGCGUAGAUAUGCGGAGGAACACCGAUGGCGAAGGCAAUCCCCUGGACCUGUACUGACGCUCAUGCACGAAAGCGUGGGGAGCAAACAGGAUUAGAUACCCUGGUAGUCCACGCCCUAAACGAUGUCAACUGGUUGUUGGGUCUUUACUGACUCAGUAACGAAGCUAACGCGUGAAGUUGACCGCCUGGGGAGUACGGCCGCAAGGUUG
rnacentral:rRNA from 1 species